AAAGGCGAAAAGAACCCCGGCGAGGGGAGUGAAAUAGAACCUGAAACCGUGUACGUACAAGCAGUGGAAGCAUUGAGAAUUUUUAAAAAUGUGACUGCGUACCUUUUGUAUAAUGGGUCAGCGACUUGUACUCUGUAGCAAGGUUAACCGAAUAGGGGAGCCGAAGGGAAACCGAGUCCUAAAUAGGCGUUAAGUUUCAGGGUACAGACCCGAAACCCGGUGAUCUAGCCAUGGGCAGGUUGAAGGUUGGGUAAAACCAACUGGAGGACCGAACCGACUGAUGUUGAAAAAUCAGCGGAUGACCUGUGGCUAGGGGUGAAAGGCCAAUCAAACCGGGAGAUAGCUGGUUCUCCCCGAAAGCUAUUUAGGUAGCGCCUCGUGAAUUCAUCUGCGGGGGUAGAGCACUGUUUCGGUUAGGGGGCCAUCCCGGCUUACCAAUCCGAUGCAAACUCCGAAUACCGUAGAAUGUUAUCACGGGAGACACACAGCGGGUGCUAACGUUCGUUGUGGAAAGGGAAACAACCCAGACCGCCAGCUAAGGUCCCAAAGUCAUAGUUAAGUGGGAAACGAUGUGGGAAGGCAUAAACAGCCAGGAUGUUGGCUUAGAAGCAGCCAUCAUUUAAAGAAAGCGUAAUAGCUCACUGGUCAAGUCGGCCUGCGCGGAAGAUGUAACGGGGCUCAAACUAUGCACCGAAGCUGCGGCAGUAAAAAAUUAUUUUUUACUGGGUAGGGGAGCGUUCUGUAAGCCAAUGAAGAUAUAUUGUAAAAUAUGUUGGAGGUAUCAGAAGUGCGAAUGCUGACAUGAGUAACGAUAAAGCAGGUGAAAAAACCUGCUCGCCGAAAAA
rnacentral:ncRNA from 1 species